GUCGCCUGCGCCGAGUGUUGCUGAGGCUGCGUCUUGGGUGCGCAGCUCCGGCCCAGCCUCACCCAGGGGAACGCCUCGCAGGUGCUCACGGACGAUGGAGAGGUCCGCGCCCAGGGUGGGAGUCCGCGCUUCCGGGUGUGUCUGCAGCUCGGGGCGCUGGAGGGUGGGAUGUGACCCCGAGACGGCGGCGGCCUGGCACGUGAUGUAUGUGUGUCCUUGUCUGAUGUGUCGGUGUCCCCGAUGGACCGGGUUCCAGUCCCAGCUUUGCCACUCCCCGGCUUGUGUGCCUUGGGGCAGGUGACUACCCCGCGCUGUGCCUCAGUUGCCUCAUCUGUACAAUGGGCAUGAUUAAAAAAUACCUGUCUCAGAGGGCGGUUGUGAGGAUUGAGAGGUAAUUCUGUACGUGUAAAACGCUGCGGACGAUACCUGGCACAGACUAAAUACUCAUAAGAAUAAAUACAUUAAAUAAACUAU
rnacentral:lncRNA from 10 species